GUUAAGACAAAACGCGCCCGCACCGGUGGGAGGCCGGCCAUGAUGUUUCCGUGAGUCCCAAGGGCGUCGAGGGUUCCGUCCGUUUCGCACAGAACGAACCCGGCUCCCUCUCGGCUUCCCUACUGCCCUGCUGCUGCCAUGCGGCUCCCGCCGUCUGUUCCGCGCUCGUUUGCUGACAGUCAAACGCCUGAUUCAAAACACAGGAAACAGUCUCAUCACGUUGUAACUGUCAGUUUUAAGGUACAAGAAAGUGAGAAUCUAACCAAGUGGCACUUAGGAACUGCACAUCAUUACAGAAACUGCGAGCACAGGUGAUGACCUUGUGACAUGAUGACUUAGAGCUUCCUUUUGCAGCUGGAAUUUUCUACUUUGACAUCUGGUGAUUUUAGGUGCUAUUCAGACUGGACACUCGCUGUCAGUUGCGAGAGUAAUGGCUCUUCUUGGCCUCAACUACAUCUUCACAACAAGGAGAAGAAUGUGAGGAAGCAAAAUCAAACCACAGCCUAUAAAACUCUUUCAACCCAGAUAAAAAGUCCUCUAGAAUUUGGAAAAUGUUUGUCUGGUCAGAUCCACACCCUCACAGAAGUACAGUUCACACUUCUGGUUUACAACUGUGGAACUAUAGUCCAGUUUGUAUCUUGGGCUGUGGGAAAGGUGUGUGGGAUAGCUGGAAAGUGAAGACACUGUAACAAUACAAGGAUACUGUCAGCCUGUCUACAAUCUGGUCAUUUCUUCAAGCCAAGCACCACCAUUCAGUGAAUGUGAAAAGGGUAAUGGGGCCCCAGCAACAAUCUCCCCGCUCUGCCAACCUCUCCUUCUGAAGCAGUGAGUGCAUCCCUGUGUGCAAUAUUCCCCUGAGCUUGGGGCAAAGGUAUUUUUCAGUCUCAUCUUUACUGCGAACUUCAAUGUCAAUAUAUGCAGGCCAAUGGUAAAAGACUUUGAUGUCUCCUCCUCAUAGAUAUCCUAUGUAAUUUGGAGAGUUUUCCAUGUUAGCUGAAAGAAGUCUAUGAAUUUCUUGUUUGUUCAGUAAUUUUUUCUUAGGUUUUUGAGUCUUAAGUGCCUCACCAAGGACCUUUUGGGGCAGCUCCACAGCACAAUAUACUAACAAGAGGUAUACUAAAUUAACUGAAUUUGAUAUGAGGUCAUUCCUUUAAAUGCUAGACUAAGCCUACUUUUGUCUUUUUUAUAAAACACAAGAGCAUUUAUAAAGCUAAAAAACCCCAUGCAACCACAUAAGAAAAAAAAAUUAUUUGAAAACAUCAUCUGAAAACAACAGAAUUAUUACAAUUUAUCUUAUGAAUAAAGCAAACAUACUGAAAGCAAAAUAACAAAUUCCCGAAACAGAGAUUUCUCCUUUCAUUUAGCACACACAGAUUAAAAAAAUAAAUUCAUUUCAGCUUGCAAGCAUUGUAUUUUUCAGCACAGAACUGCUAAGAGUUUUUCUGGCCACCACACAGUCUAGCAUGUCUGGCACU